UCCGGACCCUGAUGACCGUGAGGCUCCAUCAACUCGCAAAGUCCACCAUUCUUUUCCAUUUGAUUCCUAGUGUUGGUUAGGCCUUCGGGCAUAUUCUAGCACGAAGUCAGCCAUUACUUGGCCUUUCAUGGACAAUCUGGGUUGGAAUUCGAUUCCAAACUCGCUCAAUUCGAUAGCCCAUUGCAGCAUUCUUCCGGUUAAG
rnacentral:lncRNA from 1 species